rnacentral:rRNA from 1 species
GUGUCAGCAGCCGCGGUAAUACAGAGGGUGCGAACGUUGCUCGGAAUUACUGGGCGUAAAGCGCGUGUAGGCGGGACCGUAAGUCAGAUGUGAAAUCCCCGAGCUCAACUCGGGAACUGCAUCUGAAACUGCGGACCUUGAGUACUGGAGAGGGCGGCGGAAUUCCUGGUGUAGAGGUGAAAUUCGUAGAUAUCAGGAGGAACACCGGUGGCGAAGGCGGCCGCCUGGACAGUCACUGACGCUGAGACGCGAAAGCGUGGGGAGCAAACAGGAUUAGAUACCCUGGUAGUCC